rnacentral:rRNA from 1 species
UACGUAGGGUGCGAGCGUUGUCCGGAAUUAUUGGGCGUAAACAGCUCGUAGGCGGUUUGUCACGUCGGAUGUGAAACCCCGGGGCUUAACUCCGGGCCUGCAUUCGAUACGGGCUGACUAGAGUUCGGCAGGGGAGACUGGAAUUCCUGGUGUAGCGGUGAAAUGCGUAGAUAUCUGGAGGAACACCGGUGGCGAAGGCGGCAUCCUGGACCAACACUGACGCUGAGGAGCGAAAGCCAGGGGAGCAAACGGG